rnacentral:lncRNA from 1 species
AUGCUUGCAACGUUCCUCCCACCCACUCCAAGGCAUCCAAACUCUUCUAGGUUGUUUUUUGUUUUUUCGCACUGGAACUUUUCCUCCAUAAACCUGAACUUUCCUGAAGGCCCUCUUGUCUGCAAAUAUCUGCCCAAGUCUGUGUUUUCCAGGCACCACGAGCAAAAAGGGUUAGAUCUGGUUCACAGGAUCCUGCUGGUUCCACUGGGGUCUAUCUGCCUAUUAUCCAGUUCACAGUUUCACAAAAGGAAGCUGGAAUCAGAGACAUUGAAUGAGUUAAGCUCGAAAUUGGGAAGUCAAACCCCAAAGUCCGUGCUUCUCCUUAUUACCAUGCUACCACCCAGAAAGAGAGAAGGGAGGCCCAAGGGCAAUGUGGCAGAAGAUAACACAAGCACUUACUUCCUGUUCCGAGGCAUAUAUCUAAAGCACGGGUUCCAUUUCUCAACCGGCUGUGACCUUGAUCCAUGACCAAGCCCCUUGAGCAGAAUGUUUUCAUAUGAACAGUAAGUAUAAGAAGAGCGGUUUCACUGCCUAGUGACAAGGUUCAAAUGAGAUAACAUGAAAGUCUUUGCCAGCAUGUGAAGCUCCUAGUAAAUGUUAAAAUAUGUUGUUCUUGGGGCGCCUGGGUGGCGCAGUCGGUUGGGCGUCCGACUUCAGCCAGGUCACGAUCUCGCGGUCCGUGAGUUCGAGCCCCGCGUCAGGCUCUGGGCUGAUGGCUCAGAGCCUGGAGCCUGUUUCAGAUUCUGUGUCUCCCUCUCUCUCUGCCCCUCCCCCAUUCAUGCUCUGUCUCUCUCUGUCCCAAAAAUAAACGUUGAAAAAAAAAAUUAAAAAAAAAAUAU